GCCAUCUCUCAAUUGCAAGUUGUGUACGGGAAAAUAUCAGACCAGCAGCGUAUUCACUGUUCGUGCAAAUCCGUGGGCAUUAGUGCCUAUACGCGCUGCACGUAAGCUAAUUUUCCGUACACAAUACUUUGUAGUCCUACGCACAUUCUGCGGUCUGACUGUUGUCUGUCGCUACAAUAAGCCUUUAAACAGUAGGAUAGUACUGAUAAGAGCACAUGACCGUUUCCGCAUGAGGAGAACCUGUUUUCCAGAUUUCCGAGGACUUUUGCACAGAUGUCUGAAAAUGUUCAUUUGUUGAGUGCUUUAAUUCGUUGAAUGAUUCAUGUCCGUCAAUCAUGGGCCCAUUAUCUCCACAUUCAAACCUUUGGGGGCUGCAGGUUCUCUUCGUUUUUGGCAGCAUGAUUGUGCAAACAUUUUCCGUGGAAUGCUAUAAAUGCAGAGUAGAAAACAUGGACGCUUGUUCUGAAAUCAGACCACACCAAAUAAUUAGUUGUCCAAAGACAACCAGUUACUGUAUUUACUUAAACACCCAGUUCGCGAUCGGAUCAGACUCAAACGGGUCUGGAACUGUUAAAAGAGACUGUGGUUUCCCCGAUGGAUCACCAAUAACGAGGAUGUAUUUAAAUGGAACUCUAAACUUCGCUAACAGCGAUCCGAAUAACCUGUCGGAAGCAUUUUAUUUUACCGAAAUGGAGACUUGUUUCACGAAUGCUUGCAACAGUAAAACACCAGAUCGCGGUAACUGAAGGCGUUCGGUGCCGGUUCAAACUUUCUGCAAUCCACAUCCACGUAAAAUGGCAUCGGGAGAGUUUUAUUUUUUGACAUAAGCUGGGAAUAUGCAGAAAAUAGAUAACAAACCACAAAAAAAUAUAAAUUUUCGGACUUACGAUAACAAUCUGCUUGACAAUCAGAUUAAUCCUGGUUCAUGCAACUCUUGAUGUCAUAAUAAAAUACAGUAUCA